rnacentral:rRNA from 1 species
GAUGACUUGUAUGAAGGAUUGGAUGAGAUAUAAACUGUCUCUUAUUUAUAGUAUAGAAUUUAAUUUUUUAUUUAAAAAGUUAAAAUAUAUUAAAAAGACGAGAAGACCCUAUAGAGUUUUAUAGUUAAAUUUAAUUAGGAUUAUUUGUAUUAUUAAAAUUAAAAUUAAUUUAAUUAUUAUAUUGGGGUGAUAGAAAAAUAUGAAAAACUUUUUAUAUAUAUAUUAAACCAUUGAUAAAUGAUUAAAUGAUCCAAUAUUAUUGAUUAUAAGAAAAAGUUACCUUAGGGAUAACAGCGUAAUUUUUUUUUUUAGUUCAUAUAAGAAAAAGAGUUUGCGACCUCGAUGUUGGAUUAAGAUAAAAUUUAAAUGUAGAAG